rnacentral:rRNA from 1 species
CCUACGGGUGGCAGCAGUGAGGAAUAUUGGUCAAUGGACGAGAGUCUGAACCAGCCAAGUAGCGUGAAGGAUGACUGUCCUAUGGGUUGUAAACUUCUUUUAUAUGGGAGUAAAAUGUUCCACGUGUGGGGUUUUGUAUGUACCCUAUGAAUAAGGAUCGGCUAACUCCGUGCCAGCAGCCGCGGUAAUACGGAGGAUCCGAGCGUUAUCCGGAUUUAUUGGGUUUAAAGGGUGCGUAGGUGGAUUGUUAAGUCAGUUGUGAAAGUUUGCGGGUCAACCGUAAAAAUGCAGUUGAAACUGGCAGUCUUGAGUACAGUAGAGGUGGGCGGAAUUCGUGGUGUAGCGGUGAAAUGCUUAGAUAUCACGAAGAACUCCGAUUGCGAAGGCAGCACACUGGACUGCAACUGACACUGAGGCUCGAAAGUGUGGGUAUCAAACAGGAUUAGAUACCCGAGUAGUC